rnacentral:tRNA from 1 species
GCCUCUGUAGCUCAGUUGGUUAGAGCGCUGCACCGGAAUCGCAGGGCCGGAGGUUCAAUUCCUACCAGAGGAC